UACGUAGGGUGCGAGCGUUAAUCGGAAUUACUGGGCGUAAAGCGUGCGCAGGCGGUUUUGUAAGCCAGAUGUGAAAUCCCCGGGCUCAACCUGGGAAUGGCAUUUGGGACUGCAAGGCUUGAGUGCGGCAGAGGAGACUGGAAUUCCUGGUGUAGCAGUGAAAUGCGUAGAUAUCUGGAGGAACACCGGUGGCGAAGGCGGCUUCCUGGACCGACACUGACGCUGAGGCGCGAAAGCCAGGGGAGCAAACGGG
rnacentral:rRNA from 1 species